rnacentral:rRNA from 1 species
UACGUAGGAUGCAAGCGUUGUCCGGAUUUAUUGGGUUUAAAGGGGGCGUAGGCCGCCUAUUAAGUUAGAGGUGUAACCGUUCGGCUUAACCGGAUACCCGCCAUUGAUACUGAUAGACUUGAGUGCGACAGAGGGUGUUGGAAUGUGUGGUGUAGCGGUGAAAUGCUUAGAUAUCACGCAGAACACCAAUUGCGAAGGCAGAUGCCUAUGUCGUAACUGACGCUGGGUCACGCAAGCGUGGGGAGCAAACAGG